GUUCGACUCGAGCGAAGCGAGAGAACGUUGCGCCGGCAACGGCCCGCAGGGGGAGCCACGAAGUGGCGAGUAAUCCUCUAUCACCGACCA
rnacentral:sRNA from 1 species